rnacentral:rRNA from 1 species
GGCCUCAAAUCAGGUAGGACUACCCGCUGAACUUAAGCAUAUCAAUAAGCGGAGGAAAAGAAACUAACAAGGAUUCCCCUAGUAACGGCGAGUGAAGCGGGAAGAGCUCAAAUUUGAAAUCUGGUGGACUUUGUUCAUCCGAGUUGUAAUCUAGAGAAGUGUUUUCCGUGCCGGCCAAUGUACAAGUCCCUUGGAACAGGGCGUCAUA